rnacentral:rRNA from 1 species
AUCAACGCUGGCGGCGUGCCUCAGACAUGCAAGUCGAACGAUUAAAGCUCGUCUUCGGAGAGUGUAUAGAGUGGCGCACGGGUGAGUAACACGUAAGUAAUCUACCUUCGAGUGGGGAAUAACGUCCGGAAACGGACGCUAAUACCGCAUAAUGCAGCGGCAUCGCAAGAUGACAGUUGUUAAGGAGCAAUUCGCUUGAAGAGGAGCUUGCGGCAGAUUAGCUAGUUGGUAAGGUAAUGGCUUACCAAGGCUACGAUCUGUAACCGGUCUAAGAGGACGGUCGGUCACACUGACACUGAAUAACGGGUCAGACUCCUACGGGAGGCAGC